GGACCCGCACAAGCAGCGGAGCGUGUGGUUUAAUUCGAUGCAACACGAAGAACCUCACCUGGGUUUGACAUAUACGUAGUAGGGAACCGAAAGGGGACCGACGCUUCGGCGAGCGUAUACAGGUGCUGCAUGGCUGUCGUCAGCUCGUGCCGUGAGGUGUUAGGUUAAGUCCUACAACGAGCGCAACCCUUGUUGCCAGUUACAAGUUACUGGCGAGACUGCUGGCAUAUAACCAGAGGAAGGUGGGGAUGACGUCAAGUCAGCAUGGCCUUUAUAUCCAGGGCUACACACACGCUACAAUGGCCGGUACAGAGGGCAGCAAAGUCGCGAGGCGGAGCGAAUCUCACAAAGCCGGUCUCAGUUCAGAUUGCAGGCUGCAACCCGCCUGCAUGAAGUCGGAGUUGCUAGUAACCGCAGGUCAGCAAUACUGCGGUGAAUACGUUCCCGGGUCUU
rnacentral:rRNA from 1 species